GACGAACGCUGGCGGCGUGCUUAACACAUGCAAGUCGAACGGAAAGGCCCUGCUUUUGUGGGGUGCUCGAGUGGCGAACGGGUGUGUAACACGUGAGUAACCUGCACUUGACUUUAGGAUAACUUCAGGAAACUGGGGAUAAUACCGGAUAGGAGCUCCUGCUGCAUGGUGGGGGAUGGUAAGUUUCGGCGGUUGGGGAUGGACUCGCGGCAUAUCAGCUUGUUGGUGGGGUAGUGGCUUACCAAGGCUUUGACGGGUAGCCGGCCUGAGAGGGUGACCGGCCACAUUGGGACUGAGAUACGGCCCAGACUCCAACGGUAGGCAGCAGUGGAGAAUAUUGCACAAUGGGCGGAAGCCUGAUGUAGCAACGCCGCGUGCGGGAUGACGGCCUUCGGGUUGUAAACCGCUGUCGCCUGUGACGAAGCGUGAGUGACGGUAAUGGGUAAAGAAGCACCGGCUAACUACGUG
rnacentral:rRNA from 1 species